rnacentral:rRNA from 1 species
GAUGAACGCUGGCGGCGUGCCUAAUACAUGCAAGUCGAACGCUGAAGGAGGAGCUUGCUCUUCUGGAUGAGUUGCGAACGGGUGAGUAACGCGUAGGUAACCUGCCUGGUAGCGGGGGAUAACUAUUGGAAACGAUAGCUAAUACCGCAUGACAACAGUUAUUGCAUGAUAACUGUUUAAAAGGGGCAACUGCUCUGCUACCAGAUGGUCCUGCGUUGUAUUAGCUAGUUGGUGAAGUAACGGCUCAACAAGGCGACGAUACAUAGCCGGCCUGAGAGGGUGGUCGGCCACACUGGGACUGAGACACGGCCCAGACUCCUACGGGAGGCAGCAGUAGGGAAUCUUCGGCAAUGGGCGGAAGUCUGACCGAGCAACGCCGCGUGAGUGAAGGAGGUUUUCGGAUCGUAAAGCUCUGUUGUAAGGGGAGAACGAGAGUGGGAGUGGAAAGUGCACGCUGUGACGGUAUCUUACCAGAAAGGGACGGCUAACUACGUG